rnacentral:rRNA from 1 species
GAUGAACGCUGGCGGCGUGCCUAAUACAUGCAAGUCGAGCGAACAGACGAGGAGCUUGCUCCUCUGACGUUAGCGGCGGACGGGUGAGUAACAAGUGGAUAACCUACCUAUAAGACUGGGAUAACUUCGGGAAACCGGAGCUAAUACCGGAUAAUAUAUUGAACCGCAUGGUUCAAUAGUGAAAGACGGUUUUGCUGUCACUUAUAGAUGGAUCCGCGCCGCAUUAGCUAGUUGGUAAGGUAACGGCUUACCAAGGCAACGAUGCGUAGCCGACCUGAGAGGGUUAGCGGCCACACUGUAACUGAGACACGGUCCAGACUCCUACGGGAGGCAGCAGUAGGGAAUCUUCCGCAAUGGGCGAAAGCCUGACGGAGCAACGCCGCGUGAGUGAUGAAGGUCUUCGGAUCGUAAAACUCUGUUAUUAGGGAAGAACAAAUGUGUAAGUAACUAUGCACGUCUUGACGGUACCUAAUCAGAAAGCCACGGCUAACUACGUG